rnacentral:rRNA from 1 species
AUUGAACGCUGGCGGCAUGCCUUACACAUGCAAGUCGAACGGCAGCAUGAUCUAGCUUGCUAGAUUGAUGGCGAGUGGCGAACGGGUGAGUAAUACAUCGGAACGUGCCCUGUAGUGGGGGAUAACUAGUCGAAAGAUUAGCUAAUACCGCAUACGACCUGAGGGUGAAAGUGGGGGACCGCAAGGCCUCAUGCUAUAGGAGCGGCCGAUGUCUGAUUAGCUAGUUGGUGAGGUAAAGGCUCACCAAGGCGACGAUCAGUAGCUGGUCUGAGAGGACGAUCAGCCACACUGGGACUGAGACACGGCCCAGACUCCUACGGGAGGCAGCAGUGGGGAAAUUUGGACAAUGGGCGAAAGCCUGAUCCAGCAAUGCCGCGUGUGUGAAGAAGGCCUUCGGGUUGUAAAGCACUUUUGUCCGGAAAGAAAUGGCUCUGGUUAAUACCUGGGGUCGAUGACGGUACCGGAAGAAUAAGGACCGGCUAACUACGUG